CCCAUGUGUUUAAUCAGUAAGAACUUAGUUAAUAAAUAUCAGGAGAGGGAGCCUAAGAGAGCCUAGAGAGAUGGCCUUGGAGUCAAGAAAACCUGCAUCAAGUGGAAUUUCUGGCAUCUAUUGGUUGUGUGACCCCUAAGGAAACCCCUUAAUCUCAGUUUGCAGAACAGGAGCUGAUUUGAAUUAGUAGGAAGCUCCUUUCUGGGAGGUGUCUCUCUCUCUCUCUCUCUCUCUCUCUCUCUCUCUCUCUCUCUCUCUCUCUCUCUCUCUCUCUCUCUCUCUCUCUCUCUCUCUCUCUCUCUCUCUCUCUCUCUCUCUCUCUCUCUCUCUCUCUCUCUCUCUCUCUCUCUCUCUCUCUNAUAAAAAAAACCCCCCCCAAGGGGGUUUUUGGGCCUUUUUGGGGGGGGGGCCCCCAAAGAAAACCCCUUUUUUUUUUUUUUGAAAAAGGGGGGUUUUUUUUUUUUGGGGGGAGCCCUUUUUGGGGGGGGGUGUUUUUUUUUUUUUUUUUUUUUUUUUUUUUUUUUUUUUUUUUUUUUUUUUUUUUUUUUUUUUUUUUUUUUUUUUUUUUUUUUCUUUUUUUUUUUUUUUUUUUUUUUUUUUUUUUUUUUUUUUUUUUUUUUUUUUUUUUUUUUUUUCCCCCCUUUUUUUUUUGUACAUAGUUU
rnacentral:lncRNA from 1 species